CGCGUGCUCCCUUCUCUUGGGAGUAUUCGCAGCAGACUCACAAGUUAAAUUAAUUACCAGUUCCCAGUUACCUCAGGCCAGCGCCAAACCUCAUUGGUUUUCCGAACUUUUCUGCGUGUUUUCUGUUACUGACAACUGACUGCCGACCUAAUCUGCAAAUAAUAAUACAGCGUGUGUGCAUGUGCGUGUGUUUGAAUAAAUUUAUAUUAAAGGUGCACACCAUAUCGCAAGUCAGCCGAUGUUCAAAAUCACCAGGCUUAAAGGUAUCAGAACCUUAUCUUAACACAGAGAAUUUUACCAAAUAAAGCCUGGUCUGGUUGUUUCAUCCGUGUUAACCAAUUGCGAGGGCCGAUUUGUGAAUAUGGAACACAAUAUCUGAGAUGCAUCAUUCUAGAAAGAGAAAAGACAUACCAAACAGUACUGUAAAUCGACCGAAGGAAGGCCCACUGGAUGGAACUACACAUCAGAAGCUUCAUAUUUUGGGCCCAAAGAAACACUCCUGGAAGUUUCAGCAGAAUUAAUCUGUGGUCCGGAGGUCUGAUACUCUCCUUGUGAUACUGUCCACAUGAGCUGUCAGUACCAUCAGUCUAUCACCGGAACGGCAAUUUAGUACACGUGGUUAUGUUCGUUUCAUGCCAUUUGUACCUUCUCGCAAUAGCAUUAUUACAUUUCAAUAUUUGGAUUGUAAACUCGUUGUCAUAACGAUUGAACUUUGCUAAGUAUGGCCUGUGGUAAAUACAUCUAUCAUGUGUAAUAAACGACACGCCUAUAGGCAUGAUAUUGACGUGCCAAACCGAAGUAUCAAAAUCAGCUCGUCUUGAUACAAUUAUCAACACGUAUGCGAAUGCUAAACAAGUCUGUGAUACCAACUAAACGAGUUUACAUCUUCCAACUUCGUACCUACCCAAGCUGCAUAACUGCAGCUAAUUGGAAAUGAACAUAAAACGAUCUGUCAUCUGACGAUAAGAAGACACACGUCGGUGAUUGCCAGGUAGACAUGUAAGAAUAGCAAGAACACGAAAAUAAAUCGCGAGGAUGGACAAGUUUUUAAUACAUAUCUUUUAUUAGGCUCUAUUUAUAUUUAUGUAGUUUAUUAAUAUAAUUAGACAUCAAGUGUAACACUAAUAAUAGAUGAAUACAUCGCAUAAUGUUAGCACAUGGAUAGACAAGUCGAGGAAUGUUUUUCAAGCCAGUCAAACGAUAAAGGUUCGUGUUUUGUGUUUCCGAGAGUGAAAGAAACUGGAGUUGGAAAAGAAAUAAACUAUCGAUGUUAACGAAUCAGCAAGCAAUUCAAAUCUGCUCGUAAAGCUCGUAAAUUAUAGUUCCUGCACUUAGUGUGCAAACUAACGUUUUAACAACGUAAA
rnacentral:lncRNA from 1 species